UACAGAGGUCUCAAGCGUUGUUCGGAUUCAUUGGGGCGUAAAGGGUGCGUAGGUGGCGCUGUAAGUCGGGUGUGAAAUUUCGGAGCUUAACUCCGAAACUGCAUUCGAUACUGUGGUGCUUGAGGACUGGAGAGGAGACUGGAAUUCAUGGUGUAGCAGUGAAAUGCGUAGAGAUCAUGAGGAAGACCAGUGGCGAAGGCGGGUCUCUGGACAGUUCCUGACACUGAGGCACGAAGGCCAGGGGAGCAAACGGG
rnacentral:rRNA from 1 species